rnacentral:rRNA from 1 species
UACGGAGGGUGCGAGCGUUGUCCGGAAUCACUGGGCGUAAAGGGCGCGUAGGUGGCACGGGUAGUCGUCGGUGAAAGCUCAGGGCUCAACCCUGAGUCGGCCGGUGAUACUCCCGAGCUCGAGUGUGGUAGAGGCCAAUGGAAUUCCGGGUGUAGCGGUGGAAUGCGUAGAGAUCCGGAAGAACACCGGUGGCGAAGGCGGUUGGCUGGGCCACAACUGACGCUGAGGAGCGAAAGCGUGGGGAGCGAACAGG